GAUGAACGCUGGCGGCGUGCCUAAUACAUGCAAGUCGAGCGGACGGACGAGAAGCUUGCUUCUCGCAUGUUAGCGGCGGACGGGAGAGUAACACGUGUAUAACCUACCUAUAAGACUGGUAUAACCUCGGGAAACCGUAGCUUAUACCGUAGAAUAUUUUGAACCGCAUGGUUCAAAAGUGAAAGACGGUCUUUCUGGCACUAAUAGAUGCAUCCGCGCUGCAUUGGCGAGUUGUUAAGGUAAAGGCCUACCAAGGGAACGAUGCAUAAACGAACUGAGGGAGUGAUCGGCCACCUUGGAACUGAGACACGGUCCAGACUACUAAGGGAGGCAGCAGUAGGGAAUCUUCCGCAAUGGGCGAAAGCCUGACGGAGCAACGGGGCGUGAGUGAUGACGGUCUUCGGAUCGUAAUACUCUGUUAUUAGGGAAGAACAUAUGUGUAAGUAACUGUGCCCAUCUUGACGGUAAUUAAUCAGAAAGCAACGGCUAACUACGUG
rnacentral:rRNA from 1 species